rnacentral:rRNA from 1 species
AUUGAACGCUGGCGGCAGGCCUAACCCAUGCAAGUCGAGCGAGAGGCGGACGGGUGAGUAAUGUAUGGGGACUGCCCGAUAGAGGGGGAUCACUACUGGAAACGGUAGCUAAUACCGCAUACUAUCGGAUAACCCAUAUGGGAUUAGCUAGUUGGUGAGGUAAUGGCUAACCAAGGCGACGAUCCCUAGCUGGUCUGAGAGGAUGAUCAGCCACACUGGAACUGAGACACGGCCCAGACUCCUACGGAGGCAGCAGUGGGGAAUAUUGCACAAUGGGCGCAAGCCUGAUGCAGCCAUGCCGCGUAUAUGAAGAAGGCCCUAGGGUUGUAAAGUACUUUCAGUUAGGAGGCGUUACUCGCAGAAGAAGCACCGGCUAACUCCGUGCCAGCAGCCGCGGUAAUUC